rnacentral:lncRNA from 1 species
UUUUUUUGGGUCGGGGUGGAACAUCUUCAUCAUCUUGUUCUUCCUCUUGGCCUUCUUCGUUGUUGACGUUGUCGUUCUCUUGUUGAGGUGGAGAAGGAGGUUGAUGAGGUUCAUCUUGGUGUACUUCCUCGUUUUCUUCAUCUUGGUGUGUCCCACUUGUGGAUGCCUCCGUGUCAACUCUUAGUUCACCUUGUCGUGAGGUAGAAGCUUCCACUUGGACGGACGAGGUACUCUCCUUCACCUUCGUUGGACGAAUCUUGCCAAUAGACAAGAUUGUUUUGCUUCCGAAGGGUUUUUGUCUCCUACAUCAAUUGGCAAUUGCUCUACUUGCGAGCCGUUAGAUUCAUCAAACUUCACAUCUACCGUCUCUUCAACCUUCCGGGUGAAAUUGUUGUAGACACGGUAGGUGUGAGAGUUUGAGCCAUAACCAAGUAGGAAACCCUCAUGAGAUUUAGGAGCAAAUUUAGAACAACGAUGCUUGUCAAGAAUAUAGCACUUUGAGCCGAAUACUCAAAAGUAUCCAACUUGGGGUUUGUUAUUGUCGGCGUCCUGGGAAUGGGGGUCCCCAGACUUGCCUGCCUGCGGCCCGCUGCGUGGCUGAGCCAGCAGGCCGCAUGGUCCAUCUACACCAACAAGGCAUCCAAGACCCUCGCGAGGGGCCAAGCCUCGCAAGGAGGAUGACACGAGACCUCCUCUAGAGCGGCCUAGUCAGGCAGGCUCACGAGGAGCGGAGAUAUCAAGGCGAGGCGAACCUCACGAGGCUCUCGUGACGUGAGCCAUGACGAUCGACACCAGGCGGGCGCCAGGCAGGCGCCAGCGCGCACAGCCUCCUUGUUUCCUCUUUGGUGCUAAGGAAACUAGCGCAGACGAGGAGUACCAAGGCAUGAGGCAAAGGUUGCCAUUUUGGUGCAAAAAGACCAAGACCAGAAGGACGACAAGAUGGGGUCAUCGUGGAGCCCAAGAUGGCGUCACCACCAGAGCCUUUCGCAGGCGCAGACCACCUUUUGUCAUGAUGGCUUGUACUAAUUGUCCCCCUUUAAAUUAGCCUGUUGUUGUUGGCUCCCUUCCUGCUCAAUAUUUGUGAAGAGGACGAGGGCCUCUAUAAGUAGGACUAGCCACCAUCGGGGGCGAGGGGUCGGCAUCUUAGACCGCUCUCUCACCCACACAAGUUAGCCACAAGAACACCUCAACCUCAGGAGGUUGUUCUUCCCCUUGUAUGGUUCAUCAUCAGCCCAUGAGGCAAUCCACCACCACCACACUGGAGUAGGGUGUUAUACCACAAUGGUGGCCCGAACCAGUAUAAAUCCUAUGUCUUUCUAUGUUGCGAGUUCGUUGAGUUCGCCCGAGAGAUCUUAGCGAGCUAGGGCGUAGAUCGGUAGGAGGGAAAGACUUCGUGCGCACCCUAGUGUUUGAACCUUAAGGGUUUGCCGGAACCCCACAUCCGAUAUUUGGCGCGCCAGGUAGGGGUGCGUCGAGGCUUUCCUUCUGUCAGUUCGUCGCUCCACCGCUCCAUCGUCUCCAUGGCGGACGCUCACCGUGCUCGAGCUGAGCGUCGGGCUGCUCUCACCGCCCGCAUUGCUCAGACAGCUCCCAUCGGCGGGCCACCACUUCGUUCUCCGUCCCCCACCGCCAACGCUGCUAUCGGCCCGAUGGGGAACAAGCAGCAAACGUAUUUGCUGCAUCCUUCGGUGCGGCAGGACGGCCGCACUGCCACUCCAUCACUGGCCCCAGCCGGUUCUACAUCUCAUGCACACCGCGCUCCCAUGGAGGCGCGGGCCGCACUCCUCGCCGCAAACGAGCUCCUGCACUACCGCCCAGUCGGCGACCUCUACAAGGAGUGGCUUGACUGCGUCGCCGAUCUCAUCCGCGCCGCAGGGGGCUCCCGAACGCCGUCCCUCUCCCGAGGCGCACCUCCACCACCCCAGCCCAAAGACGGCGCCUUGGCACCAAGGCGUGUGGCCCCGCAAUGCGAUCUGCCACGACCGGUGCCCGCGCGCGAAGAGAGAAGCUACCAAGAAAUCCCACGGCCACGAGAAGCUGCACCCACGCUUCCCGCGCCGCCUCGUCAAGACCGCGCGUUGCUUGCGGCGACGCUGCGAGGACCUCGACAAGACCAAGCCCCACCUCUGAGGCGGGCCCUAGUAACCACGGCCAGCUACCGCGCCUUCACCCCCGAGCUCCGCGGCGUCACCUGGCCAGGCAAGUUCAAGCCAGAUCUGCCUCCUCGCUACGACGGCACCGCCGACCCCGCAGAGUUCCUGCAGCUCUACGAGCUGAGCAUCGAAGCAGCCAACGGCGACGAAAAAGUCAUGGAGAACUGGUUUCCCAUGGCUCUCAAGGAUGGGGCCUGCACCUGGCUCCUGAACUUGCAGCACGGCUCGAUCUCCUCCUGGGUCGAGAUGCGCGACCGCCUUGUCGCCAACUUCCAGGGCACUCGUGACUGCCCGUCGGCCGCGACCGAUCUGCGCCACAUCAAGCAACAACCAGGGGAGACCCUCCAGAAGUACAUCCAGCGCUUCAACAACACCUGCCUCAAGAUCCUCAAGGUCACGGAUGAGGCCAUCAUCUCCGCGUUCUCCGACGGCGUCCGUGAUGUCAAGAUGAAGGAAGAGCUCGCCAUCCAUAAGGAGCUCUGCAUGUCUCAGGAGCUGUUCAACCUGGCGACCAAGUGCGCAAGAGCUGAGGAGGGGCGCAGGCACAGAGGAGAAGAAAGCCAAGGCCAAGGACGUGAAGCGCAAGGAAGCGGUAGUGCUAGCUGCGGAGCCCGACACCAAACGGGGCAGAGAUCAGCCCGAGUCAUCCAAGAACAGCCGACCGUUCUGCGCCUUCCACAACCUGAACACCCACAACACCAGCGACUGCCAAGAGCUCCGAGCCCUAUCGCGAGGGACGCUAGAGUCGACGCCCCGAGCACGGCGACCGGGGCUACGGCCGUGGAGGAGGACGAGGAGGCAGACGCUGGUACGACCGCGGCCCGCACCAGGAAUGGCGCGACGGGCCUCAUGAGGACCGCUGGCAGGACCAUCCUCGCGAGGGGCCCUGGAGGGACCAGCCUCGUGAGGAUCGCCCCAAGGCAACACCAGUCUUCCUCCACUGCUGCCACCAAGAAGGAAAGACGACCAUCAUCAGGACGAGAGGGCUGGGGGCUUCCAGGAGCCGUGUGCAGUUGCCUCCAUCUUGGGCGGCGCCCAGGCCCCAGCCUCUCAGCUCAUCUUCAAACGAUUCGCUCGCGAGGUGAACGCGGCGCUCCCCAAGCUUGAGGCCGCGCGCCCACUCAAGUUGUCCCAGUGCGCCAUCACUUUCAACUCGGUAGAUCAGCUCAAGUGCGCGGCCACCGCCGGCAUCCUCCCGAUGUUGUGUUCCCCAGUCAUCAGCAAUGUGCAGGUUACCAAGACUCUCAUCGAUGGCGGUGUAGGACUCAAUGUCCUGUCCGUUGACACUUUCGACAACCUCCAAGUGCCAUAUGAGCAGCUCCAGCCUACGAAACCUUUCUCGGGAGUGACCGACGGCUCCACCACACCGAUAGGGCAGGUCCACCUGCCUGUCACCUUCUGCACACGCGACAACUACCGCAUUGAGCUCAUCGACUUCGACGUCGCGCACAUCUGCCUGCCGUACAAUGCCAUCCUUGGGUAUCCGGCCCUGGCGAAGUUCAUGGCGGUCACCCAUCACAGCUACAACGUCCUCAAGAUGCCUGGAAGUGGUGGGGUCAUCACGGUCCCGUGUGAAGAAAGGGAUGCGGUGUGCUCCCUUGAGCGCGCCUUCCAAGCUACAACAAUCGACGACCCCGACAGCAGAAGUGAGGGUCCUCCGGAGGCCAUCCCCAAGAAGAAGCAGUCGCGCUGCACAGGACCUCAGGAGGAUGGCGUUGCGGCAGGAGCCUCGUCAGGAUCAGCGUCCGUCCCAGGGGAGCCUCCCUCCAUCGUAUAGGAAGGCGCACCCGGCGCCCUCCUCGGGCAGGGCUUGGGGGCUCUCUUCUGGAGGGCCUCACACCUUGCCCACCUCACGAGGGAGCCGCUUGGGCACCACUUGGAGGCGUUCUACGCGGCAUGUUUUCCUCAGGAGAACAUCGGGCAAGGGGUGCCCGCCACUCAGGAGUUCAUCGCCAAGACCACACAGGAACUGCAAGACGCAAGAGCCAUGCGCGGCGAUAGCCGCUCACAGGGCGUGGCUCACCACCCAGGUGAGGGUGCCGAGCUGCGUGUCUGCAUUGACAUUCCAGGGCUCAACAGGGCCGCGUCUCAGGAGCGCUUAUGGCCUUCACAAGUGGGCCAUUGCGGAGGCCUGCCACACAGCUACAUCCGCAUGCCCCUCGGCUUGCCGAGCGUGGCGUCGGCCUAUCAGCGCGCCAUGCGGCGUGACCUGGCGGCUCAAGAGGCCAGGUACCACGUCGUCCUGGAGGGAAUGGAGACGGUCUUCAGGGAGCCUCCUGAGCCCCCAGAGCCUCCCGAGGCUCAGGGCUCCGGUGGCUCAUGAGGAGUCGCUUCUUCGAUGCACGCCUUCAGCUGCACCAGCUCUGCUUCGGCUACAGAACCAGGUGACAUCUUCCAAACUCGUUAAGCUGGGAGCGCCCCUUGGGCUGCAUCAUUCCCAGGCCGUGUCGGUCCGUCCCUACGACAUGUAUCCCAUUUGCUUAUGUCUUUAGCUUACCUUGCUGGGAGCGCCCCUUGGGCUGCAUCAUCCCCAAGCCGCUCGAGCCGGACCCAGUGGCAUGUAUCUUCUUGCAUUUACCCAAGCUGAUUUGCCUUCCCUGCUUAACCUGCCUACGGUCAUCAUCUGCCCGAUCAUCGCCUCCCACGAGGCCUCCUCAUAGGCACGGCGCUGGUGCAUGGGUCCAUCCCUACCACGUCGACAAGCCUGAGUGGUCGAGCUCUGGCUCGCGGCACGCCCCGCGCAUGUCACCUCACCAGGCCCUCGGUGCCUUCAUUUCAUCCGGACCAACCAGCGGUAGGCUCACGGCUGUAACGGCAAACCCUGUUUUUCUUGUGCCUGUUCACAGGGACCCCGCGGGAAGGAUAGCAGGCAGCACCGCGAGUCUUCUCUUCUCUCGUGCAAUUUGCUUGCAUAUUAAAAGGGGGGCUCCUGAGCAUCGCGACACAGGAGCUCUUACUGGCUCUCCAGCCCUCACCCCUGGCCUUGACCACGGCAUCAUGACCUGGCAUACCAGCGGCGGCUGAGCUCGCUCCAGGGCCGGGACCUGAGGACACAGAGCACUAAGGAGAGCAUGGGAGGAGGGAAACUUGUAUGGGCCGGCUCAGCUAUGCCGCACAAGUUGGCGCGCAACCCCAGCGCAACAUCAGGAAUCGUCAUGAAGUUCGCAAGAUAAGUCUCGCCCUCGGAUCAGCUAAAUUUCUGGGCCUCAUGGACACUCACGCCUUGCCGCAAUCCCGUUGUGGCCACGUCAACUCCCUUUCUUCCCUAACCAUGGCCACUUGAGCGCUAAGGGGGACCUCCUAAGCAUCGCGCCUCAGGGGCUCUUACUGGACCUCGGGUCGCACACCUCCUGGCCUUGACCACGGCACGCGACCUCGCAUACCAGCGACGGCUGUAGCCUGCCUGGGGACUGGGACUUGUCGGCGUAGAGCAACAAGCUAUCAUGAGGAAAGAAAGGGGCCGGGGACCGAGCCUUAAUGGGACACGCGUUCAUCAAAUCUUCGUAAUAGGGAAGAAAAGCACAAAAGGCAUUACAGACCCUUACAUGCCCCCAUGGGGUGCUUCAUGAUUCUUCGCAGGAAACAAAAGCUGAAACUGAGGAGGAUCCUAUCUACACCCCUCCAUGGCAGACGCCAUCAUCAACAGUGGGCCAUGGGAGGCCGGCGUCAACCCCAUCCAGAUCAGCGGCGGUCGGACGCAGCAGCACUCCUCUGAGCGCGCGAGAGCUCGGGGGCACAUAGUUGUCGUCGCUCGUCUCCGGAGUCUCGUAGAGCUCAGGAGAGCCGCUGGACUCUCGAGGGCUGUUGCUGCUGGAGUGGUCGCGAGCGGAGCGCGCAUCAGCCUCGCGCUCCUCUCCGGAGCAACACUCCAGGCGGCGGCCCUCGACGUCGAAGACCUUGAAGAAGAGCAUGGCGACGCCAUCAUACUCAAGAUGGAUCGCGAGGCCGCCCCUCGCACGGCAUACCCGCGAUCUCGCCCCAGCCGCAGGUCAUGAAGAUCUUGCCGGAGGGGACCGCUUCGAUCUCCGCUCCGAUCGCAGGAGCACCGCAGUCGGCGUGCUGCAACGAGAGCUCGAGAGGCCCCCUCGAUGGCAUCACGUCGGAGAAGAACCGCGGGAAGAGGGUCCAAGAGCUUGGCGGCAUUGGCGCCCACAACACUAGCUCAGGCGAGGAGUCUGCGGCGUGGAUUUCGGGGGCGACGGCGUGCAUCGCCGUGGCGCGGCGACCCCGAGCGCGGCGCAGGUGGCGCUGCUCGUCGCCCCGCCCUCCUGAGCCCUCGGCUUGGGCGUAUAGGGGUGGCGGGUACCCUGAAGGAGGCCACUCACACCAAGGCCUCGCCACUACCUGCAUCGCCGCUUCUUCACGGUGGUGGAUCGACCUCUUCUUCGGCGGGAGUUGCUCCGGGACUUCCCGGGGGCUUUCCCCUUUUCUUCGGCGAAGAACCUUCUGAUAGGCGCCAUUCGUGCUAGCAGUGGAGCGAGGAAGAAGAAGCAGCAAGCGAGGAAGAGAUGGGAGACGGGGGCUCCGCCCCCACCCCAUUUAUAGCAAGAGGAGGCCAACCGGCAGCUCCCAUGACCGCACGUAAUGAUGGUUUCCCUUGCAUGUCGCAGAGACUCAUCAAGUCGUGUAGUUGCCGAGGCAGCGUGGGGAAGUGGAGACGCCCACGACCAAUCAACCGCCACGCGUCAAACAAGGCCGCAGGCUUUGGGGCCCGCGGUGGUCCGUACUUGGCCCUUGGCUUCGCCACGAAGCCAAGUCCGAGUGCACCUUGGGCCCGGGGGCUACUGUCGGCGUCCUGGGAACGGGGAUCCCCAGACUUGCCUGCUUGCGGCCCGCUGCGUGGCUGAGCCAGCAGGCCGCACGGCCCAUCUUCACCAACAAGGCAUCCAAGACCCUCGCGAGGAGGACGACACGCGACCUCCUUUGCAGCGGCCUAGUCAGGCAGGCUCACGAGGAGCGGAGAUAUCAAGGCGAGCCGAACCUCACGAGGCUCUCGUGACGUGAGCCAUGACGAUCGACACCAGGCGGGCGGCAGCGCGCGCAACGCCUUGUUUCCUCUUUGGUGCUAAGGAAACUAGAGCAAGCGAGGAGUACCAAGGCAUCAGGAAAAGGUUGCCAUUUUGGUGCAACAAGACCAAGACCAGAAGGACGGGAAGACGGAGGCCAUCGUGGAGCCCAAGACGGCGUCACGAGCAGAGCCUUUCGAAGGCGCAGACCACCUUUUGUCAGGAAGGCUUGUACUAGCUUUCCCCCUUCAAAUUAUCCCGCCGUUGUUGGCUCCCUUCCCGCUCAAUAUUUGGGAAGAGGAUCAGGGCCUCUAUAAGUAGGACUAGCCACCAUCGGGGGUGAGGGGUCGGCAUCUUAGACCGCUCUCUCACCCACACAAGUUAGCCACAAGAAGACCUCAACCUCAGGAGGCUGUUCUUCCCCUUGUAUGGUUCAUCAUCAGCCCAAGAGGCAAUCCACCACCACCACACUGGAGUAGGGUGUUACACCACAACGGUGGACCGAACCAAUAUAAAUCCCGUGUCUUUCUGUGUUGCGAGUUCUUCGAGUUCGUCCGCGAGAUUUUAGUGAGCUAGGGCGUAGAUCGGUAGGAGGGAAAGACUUCGUGUGCACCCCAGUGUUCGAACCUUAAGGGUUUGCCGGAACCCCACAUCCGACAGUUACCGGUGAGAAGCUCGUAUGCCGUCUUGCCGAGUAGCUUGUGAAGAUAUAAACGAUUUGUUGCAUGACAAGCUGUCUCAACGGCUUCAGCCCAAAAGCGUUUUGGCGUGUUGUACUCAUGAAGCAUCAUUCUUGCCAUCUCAAUAAGAGUUCGGUUCUUCCUCUCAACAACUCCAUUUUGUUGAGGCGUGUACAUAGCCGAGAACUCAUGUGAAAUCCCUUCUUCGUCAAGAAAGGUAUCCACAUUUGUGUUCUUGAACUCCAUUCCAUUGUCGUUGCGAACCUUCUUGAUCUUCACUUCAAAUUGAUUUUGGGACUUCCUAGUGAAGUUCUUGAAGAUCUUUUGGACCUGUGAUUUAUCAUCAAGAAAGAACACCCACGUAAAUCUUGAAAAAUCAUUGACUAUGACUAGACCAAAUGAGUUUCCACCGAGACUUUUAUAGGCAUUGGGACCAAAGAGAUCCAUAUGAAGUAGCUCGAGCAGUCUUCCCGUGGUCAUGAUGUUCUUCACAGGGUGGCUUCCUCCAACCUGUUUUCCUUCUUGACAAGCACUGCACAAUCUAUCCUUGUCAAAUAUAACAUCUUUCACUCCAAGGACAUGAUCACCUUUAAUAAGCUUAUCAAGAUUUUGCAUGCCCAUAUGACCUAACCUUCUAUGCCACAACCAACCUUUAGAAGAUUUAGCAAUUAAGCAAGUUCUAGGUUGAGCCUUUUUUAGUGAAAUCAACAAUGUAUAGAUCACCUCUACGUAUACCGGUAAAGACCAUUUUAUGAUUAUCUCUUCGAAACACUUGGCAAUCUACUUCAGUAAAUAGGACAUUGAAACCAAAGUCAGCUAGUCUAGACACGAAAAGCAAAUUAUAGCCAAGAGAUUCAACGAACAUAACAUUUUGUAUGGAGCUAUCAUGUGAGAUGGCCACCUUACCAAGGCCACCCACCUUACCCUUUGAGUUGUUACCAAAAGUGACGUACUUUUGAGGGCCGGCGUUUUCAGCAAGCUCACGAAACAUAUCCUUGUCUCCGGACAUGUGAUCGGUACAUCCACUAUCAAGAACACAUUCCUUUCCUCCAACCAUGUAGCUGCGAAGAUUAGCCAUAAGACCAAUAUGUCUCAUAGACUCAUCGAAAUCAAAGUCACUAUCCUCAUCCUCAUCAUAGUAUCCAUGUUCAACAUCGUCUUGUGAUUGAUCUAUUCCUGGAGAGAGUGAUUCAUUAGAUAAGUGACCAUCACAAUGUUCAUCUUUAUGAAUUCUAAUGGCUUCGGAGAUGAUAUUGCUAAUGAUUCCAACAUCUCCUUUGACACGCAUAAGGUCACGAAGCUCAAAUAAACAAUCAUCUAACUUAGGAUCAUUCGAAUUCAUCUUACUCAAAGCAAUAGACUUGUGAAGAAUCUCAUCUAAGUUUUGCAAGGAAUAGUUUGGGAAUCGUUCCUCAAGAAAUCUCCAUAUGGUGUAAGCACAAUCAAGAGUAGGCAAGCAACCAAACAGAUUUCUAGGCAAACCUCUAGUAAUAAGAUUGACAGUUCUAAGAUUGCGGAUCAUGUCAAUAGACUCAUCAGGGGUAGGAUGCAAGGGGUCAACAAGGGGUGCACAAGGGCUAGUAAUGUACUUGUUCAAGUGAUAUUCAUUGAAAAUCUCAAGCAUCUCAUUUUUCCACUCAUGAAAGAACUCUCCAUCAAGUAUAGGCACUCUACGUCUAAGACUCCCCAACAUAGACUCAUCCAUCUUCCUCCAAUGGUGACUAAACCAUAACAAUGGAUACCAAACCUCUGAUACCAAUUGAAAGGAUCGAGAAGAGGUGUCUAGAGGGGGUGAUUAGACCCUCGACAAAGAAAAGUAGCAGUUUUUAAUUUUUUCAAGUUAAGCUGGAGUUUUAGCACAAGUUUAAACAUUCACAAUACAUUUCAAGCAAGCAUGGCAAUAGUAUAUGAGCAGCGAAAAGUAAAGCAUGCAACUUGCAAGAAAGUAAGGGGAUGGGAUUGGAGUGUGCAAACGCAAUUGGAGACACGGAGAUUUUUGGCGUGGUUCCGAUAAGUGGUGCUAUCGUACAUCCACGUUGAUGGAGACUACAACCCACGAACGGUAACAGUUGCGCGAGUCCACGGAGGGCUCCAUCCAUGAAGGGUCCACGAAUAAGCAACCUUGUCUAUCCCACCAUGCCCAUCUCCCACGAAGGACUUGCCUCACUUGGGUAGAUCUUCACGAAGUAGGAGAUCUCUUUGCCCUUACAAACUCCUUGGUUCAACUCCACAAUCUUGACGAAGGCUUCCACUACAAGAAAUACGGUCGAUAGUGACCCACCAUUUUGGUCAAUAAAUCGUCAUUGUUUUCAAGGUAUGACCUUUUUUGACCAAACUGAGUAGGUCAACAGUUGGCCGUCAAGAACAAACAAACAUGACCUUUUCUAAGUUUUGGUCAUAGUUUUUAAGACCAAAAAUUAUAGGUCAUAGUUUUUAAUGACAACAUUUUUGGUCAGUACCUGUGUGCCUCAUCCACAUAGGAUCUGAUGUGGCAUCAGCCACGUGGCCACCAGAUCUGACAUGGCAUUGGUAGUGAUGAUAUAAGAUUGUCAUAUUUUCUGGCAAGCCAAGCCCAUUAAGGCCAGCCCAUAAAACUUUAUACACAUUUAUUUUACUGGGCCAAAGCCCAUGUCCGAUCCAUUAUGUAUUAUUAGGUCGUUUAACCUUUUUAGACCUGAACCUGUACUACAAGUAAAGUUCAGUGAAGAAUACACCACAGAUUUAAAUUAGACAGAUAUCUUUUUGAAUAUCCCAGCACACACAAAAUAAGAUUACACACGCCAGACAACAUAACACAGAUUUAAAUUAGACAGAUAUCUUUUUGAGUAUCCCAGCACACACAAAAUAAGGUUACACACACCAGACAACAUAACACAGAUUUAAAUUACAGAGAUAGCUUUUUGAGUAUCCUAGCACACACAAAGUAAGAUACACAGCCAAGACAAAUGGUAUUACAAAAAACAUAGCCUGUUGCACAACAACAGCAUGGCUCCAUUGUCUUCCUCUUUAAGAAUUCCGAGAAGCAUUUCGUCCUGGCAUCAGAAGGGACAACACAUGAGAACCAAAUUAAGCAUAACAUGAAAUAAGAAAAAUGU